UCUCCUUCCUUUUGCUCCUUCUGUCUCUCGAAGGGGAAACUUGAUGGCCAGUCCUUUGCCACGUCGAGCCUCCAGCUGCUCCACCUUGCUCGCUACCGGAGCAGCUUUUUUUGCUCAGGGAAGCUUCGGUAGACAAAUCCGAAAAAACGACUCAGAAGUCCCAUUUAAACACCAUCAGCCUGAUACGGCCUCAACGGCAGUGUUGAAUGAAAGGACGUCGGGGGAUGAAUUGGGGCUAGCCAGUCAAGAAGGAGACAAAACAAAUCAGCCAAGAAGAAUAAGAGACAUCGCUGAAGACAGCAAGAUGUGUAGAAGAGAGAGGAGAUUGUCAAGUCGCAGAGCUCCGUCUGGAAUGUUGCUUCUCACAGCGGGAAACAGGAGGGAAUGUCAUUGAAUCUGCCAAUCAGUGGCUAUCACCUCUGUCUAACCUCUCCUCAUCCUCCACCUCCUUCUUCACCUCUCUGCCGGCCCCUUCAUCUAUCGCUCACAUGCUGCUUCUCUUCCAGCCCGCACAAACAGCCUGGUCAGCACUUUGUAGCAGUCAGACUAUAAGAGCAGAAGGAGCUGGACUCAGGAGUCUCAUACUGGAAUCGCAGUGAGUAUAGUUUAGAGUGUGUGUGAAUGAAUCAUGACAGCAACUUCAUACUGAGAUUAUCUGUGUGUGCAUGAGUAAAUCCGUCUCCACAGCAUCCUUCAAUUGCCCAGCCCGCCUGCCCAGUGUUCAGACUACCUGUUCAGGAAGUAGUGGUUGUACAGUAGUCUGCACAUUGGUUAGGCUGGCCGGGGAAGCACGGGACGACUCAAAAGUGUCCUAAAGAGAGACACGAAAGAGAGCAAGAGCCCUCCAGAGGGCAUCCAGGAGGCACAAGCACAUUAGGAUGUGGUGACACGCAGCACCACCCCUAGUCCAUCUGGACAAGCCCGGGCACAAGCCUAAAUAAAGCACCCAAAGGCUCCACCACAGAGGCCUGGCUCUCGCCUAUCCUGGAUUUAUGAGUGACGGACACAUAAAUCCCAAAUUAUUUUUUAAAACUGUUUACAGAGACAUAAGGGUUUCAGUUUAUUUUCCUGUUUUUUUUGUAUUGUUUUAUUUGUCAUUUAACCAAGAGUGAAGUCUGAUAAAACUGUAAAGAAUUGUUUGAAAUAGUUCAAAUAAAGAUGCUUGGAUAUCUA